AGAGUUUGAUCCUGGCUCAGGAUGAACGCUGACAGAAUGCUUAACACAUGCAAGUCGACUCGAGUCUUCGGACUUGGGUGGCGGACGGGUGAGUAACGCGUAAAGAACUUGCCUCAUAGUCUGGGACAACAUUUGGAAACGGAUGCUAAUACCGGAUAUUAUGCUUUCUUCGCAUGGAGGAAGUAUGAAAGCUAUAUGCGCUAUGAGAGAGCUUUGCGUCCCAUUAGCUAGUUGGUGAGGUAACGGCCCACCAAGGCGAUGAUGGGUAGCCGGCCUGAGAGGGUGAACGGCCACAAGGGGACUGAGACACGGCCCUUACUCCUACGGGAGGCAGCAGUGGGGAAUAUUGGACAAUGGACCAAAAGUCUGAUCCAGCAAUUCUGUGUGCACGAUGACGUUUUUCGGAAUGUAAAGUGCUUUCAGUCGGGAAGAAGCAAGUGACGGUACCGACAGAAGAAGCGACGGCUAAAUACGUGCCAGCAGCCGCGGUAAUACGUAUGUCGCAAGCGUUAUCCGGAUUUAUUGGGCGUAAAGCGCGUCUAGGCGGCAAGGAAAGUCUGAUGUGAAAAUGCGGGGCUCAACUCCGUAUUGCGUUGGAAACUGCCUUACUAGAGUACUGGAGAGGUAGGCGGAACUACAAGUGUAGAGGUGAAAUUCGUAGAUAUUUGUAGGAAUGCCGAUGGGGAAGCCAGCCUACUGGACAGAUACUGACGCUAAAGCGCGAAAGCGUGGGUAGCAAACAGGAUUAGAUACCCUGGUAGUCCACGCUGUAAACGAUGAUUACUAGGU
rnacentral:rRNA from 1 species